GACGAACGCUGGCGGCGUGCCUAAUACAUGCAAGUCGAACGAACUCUGGUAUUGAUUGGUGCUUGCAUCAUGAUUUACAUUUGAGUGAGUGGCGAACUGGUGAGUAACACGUGGGAAACCUGCCCAGAAGCGGGGGAUAACACCUGGAAACAGAUGCUAAUACCGCAUAACAACUUGGACCGCAUGGUCCGAGCUUGAAAGAUGGCUUCAGCUAUCACUUUUGGAUGGUCCCGCGGCGUAUUAGCUAGAUGGUGGGGUAACGGCUCACCAUGGCAAUGAUACGUAGCCGACCUGAGAGGGUAAUCGGCCACAUUGGGACUGAGACACGGCCCAAACUCCUACGGGAGGCAGCAGUAGGGAAUCUUCCACAAUGGACGAAAGUCUGAUGGAGCAACGCCGCGUGAGUGAAGAAGGGUUUCGGCUCGUAAAACUCUGUUGUUAAAGAAGAACAUAUCUGAGAGUAACUGUUCAGGUAUUGACGGUAUUUAACCAGAAAGCCACGGCUAACUACGUGCCAGCAGCCGCGGUAAUACGUAGGUGGCAAGCGUUGUCCGGAUUUAUUGGGCGUAAAGCGAGCGCAGGCGGUUUUUUAAGUCUGAUGUGAAAGCCUUCGGCUCAACCGAAGAAGUGCAUCGGAAACUGGGAAACAUGAGUGCAGAAGAGGACAGUGGAACUCCAUGUGUAGCGGUGAAAUGCGUAGAUAUAUGGAAGAACACCAGUGGCGAAGGCGGCUGUCUGGUCUGUAACUGACGCUGAGGCUCGAAAGUAUGGGUAGCAAACAGGAUUAGAUACCCUGGUAGUCCAUACCGUAAACGAUGAAUGCUAAGUGUUGGAGGGUUUCCGCCCUUCAGUGCUGCAGCUAACGCAUUAAGCAUUCCGCCUGGGGAGUACGGCCGCAAGGCUGAAACUCAAAGGAAUUGACGGGGGCCCGCACAAGCGGUGGAGCAUGUGGUUUAAUUCGAAGCUACGCGAAGAACCUUACCAGGUCUUGACAUACUAUGCAAAUCUAAGAGAUUAGACGUUCCCUUCGGGGACAUGGAUACAGGUGGUGCAUGGUUGUCGUCAGCUCGUGUCGUGAGAUGUUGGGUUAAGUCCCGCAACGAGCGCAACCCUUAUUAUCAGUUGCCAGCAUUAAGUUGGGCACUCUGGUGAGACUGCCGGUGACAAACCGGAGGAAGGUGGGGAUGACGUCAAAUCAUCAUGCCCCUUAUGACCUGGGCUACACACGUGCUACAAUGGAUGGUACAACGAGUUGCGAACUCGCGAGAGUAAGCUAAUCUCUUAAAGCCAUUCUCAGUUCGGAUUGUAGGCUGCAACUCGCCUACAUGGAGUCGGAAUCGCUAGUAAUCGCGGAUCAGCAUGCCGCGGUGAAUACGUUCCCGGGCCUUGUACACACCGCCCGUCACACCAUGAGAGUUUGUAACACCCAAAGUCGGUGGGGUAACCUUUUAGGAACCAGCCGCCUAAGGUGGGACAGAUGAUUAGGGUG
rnacentral:rRNA from 1 species